rnacentral:misc_RNA from 1 species
GAAUAAUUCUCCCCUUUCCUUCCUACUGCUGGAACUCGGUGCCGCCUACGCUACGACAUCCCAUUGCGAUAACCUUUUCUUUCCCAGUCGUAUGAUCGGAUGCUUGAGGGAAAUUAUUUCCUCCUCGAAUCCCAACUGUUAGAAUUCCAUUUCCAGUUCAUCUGCUGCUUAUCUCAAAUGGGUAUUAUCCACUUUUCUUCCUUUUUCUUCCGUUUCUUCUACCCUUCGACUUGAAUGUAACCUCGUAUGCAAAUUUAUCUCUCCAUUCUUUUGUGCGUUGUUUGAUCAAUACCCAUUAGAAUUCGUUCCCUUUUAUUGUUUGAAACCCUUGUUAGUGGAUUCUCCAUCAUGGACAAUUCAGAUGGAGGUAAAAUUCAAGUUGACAAAAACACAGAUUGGGAAGAGGCGUUUUCUCGCUAUGAAAGUGUAAUAGCUUCUGGGAGUGAGUCUAUGCAAGUAAAAGCCACAAUUAGAUUAGCCCAUCUCUCAAAACAUGCACCUGAACAUGUUUUAGCUGGAACCAUACCCAUCCUUGCUAAGCUUCUUCUGACGGACAAUUCAAACAAUUUAAUUCAGUCUGUUCAAGAAGCAGCAGCUUAUUGUUUGAAGCAAAUUGCUUGUCAAGGUGAUGGCGCCUUGGCCGCAGAGAUAGGCCAAUCUGGUGUUACAAAUUCUAUCUUGAGCUUGUUGCCCCAGUCCAAUAAUAGGUUUCGAAAGGUUUUGAUAAAAUGUGUUUGGUGUCUUGUUAAUUUUGGUAAUGUGAAUCGUUUGAUUGUAGCUAGAAAUGGUGGGUUGGAGAUUGUUAUAGAUAUGUUAAAUUCUUGUAGGGAUGGGGACAGGCUGUACUUGUUGGAGAUUUUGAGUGCAUUGACAUUGUUAAGAGAGGUUAGGAGGGUACUUGUUAGAUUAGGAGGGCUUAGAUUUCUUGUUGAGGCGGUUAGGUUUGGUAGCAUGAUAUCGAGGGAGAGAGCUUGUCAAGCAAUAGGAUUACUUGGUGUUACGAGGCGUGCUAGGUCCAUGCUUGUUGAAUUGGGAGCAAUCCAGGUGCUUGUUGAAUUAUUUCGAGAUGGAGAUAGGACAACAAAACUUGUUGCAGGUAAUUGUCUAGGUGUGAUAUCAGCUCAUAUAGAUUUCGUAAGGCCUCUUGCUGAAGCCGGCGCUAUACCUUUAUAUGCUGAGCUUCUUCAAGGACCUGACCCUGCUGGCAUGGAGAUUGCAGAGGAUGCAUUCUGUAUAUUAGCUGUUGCUGAAGAGAAUGCAGCUUCUAUUGCUGAACACUUGGUGAGAAUCUUAAGAGAAGGUGAUGAUGAAGCAAAAAUUGCAGCUUCUGAUAUUAUCUGGGAUCUAUCAGGUUACAAGCACUCAGUUUCAUUUGUUCGAAACUCGGGUGCAAUUCCUGUUUUGGUCGAGCUUUUGAGGGAUGGGAACGGUGAAGUUAGGGAAAAGGUAUCAGGAGCUAUUGCUCAGUUGAGUUACAAUGAGGCUGAUCGAGCAGCACUUGCUGAUGCAGGGGCAGUUCAAACUCUCAUUGAAUUAUUGCAUGACGAGUCAGAGGAGAUGAAGGAUAAUGCUGCCGAGGCUCUAGUGAAUUUUGGUGAAGAUCCUCGGCAGCGUGAUAUAAUAUUGGAAGCAGUUGAUAUUACUUCAUUCCAGGGUAUGCAGAAUAGAAUGGCUCGACUUCGUUUUUCUGAUGAGCGCAUUGUUAGAUCACUGAGACGGGUGAACCAGCAGCUUACUUGGGACCCAGUUCUGACCUAAUUUUCUUGUAUGAUAUUUCUUUAAUCUCUGCUGCCUGUAAAUUGCUAAAAUUUUAGUUAAAUUGAUGGUAGUAUUUUAUUGCCACUGGAUAUCCUUGCUUGAUCAGCUUUCAUCUGUUUCAUAGGCUCGUAAGUUUUAAAGCUUUACACACGUUGUGACAAAGUGGCAAUUAAUGAUAUGUUGUUUUGCAUAUUGAUAUUGCUAUGAAGUGUUGAGAACAUACUUUUGCUUGGGUAUGAAUGCAUGUUAAUCAAUACAUGUUCUGAGCUUGAUCUAUCAAAGUGUAUGCUGGUGGGUGGAAAAAUAUAAUAAUGUUAAAAUUAGGUUUUUCAUCUUUUGUUUCUAUGGAACUAUCUUGCAAUUCUAAAGAUCUAUUUAAAGGGUUCUGCAUGAAAUAGUUACAAGUUUCCUGAGUAAACAAACUACUUUGUUGAAAGGAUAUAAGAUCUCUUAAUGAGAUGAUAAAAUCUAUAAAUGCAACAAGACCACCAUUUAAACAUUGGUAGAGCAGGGCAAAUAGGGGUGAGUUUAACUUGGAUAGCUUGGAUUCUGAUCUUUGUUGGGAUUACGUAUUGCACAUUGGAAAAAAUAGAAAAAUAGAAAAGUGAAAAGAGUUAGAAAAUAUCUUAAUAUUUUAUAUAAGCUCAUAUUAAAAUGAAUUAAUGUCUAAUAUACCAGCACUAUUUCGGAAUUUAAUAAUCUUUGGGGAGAAUAACUGUACAAUAAACUCAAUUGCAUUACAAGACAAACAAAAAAAAAGUCUAAAAAAGAAAAAUAAAAAAAAAGAACUGUGACAUGAAGCUAUUAAAUACUGCUGAGCUUGAAUGCUGAACCUAAAAUAUCAAACUGAUUUAGUAUGGCUAGGCCAGCAUACCAUUGCUAUCAGCAGAUCGUAUUGAAACUGCUCACCAACAAAUUGAUUUUUCCUUUUUCUCUUUCAAGAAGCACAGCCUACCAUCUGAAUGCUAUGGUGGGCAAAUGCAAAUUGGAAACCUGUGGACAUGCAGCAAGAUUGGACGGUGCUUUUUGUAUCAACUAUUUGUU